ACGGCGAGUGAAGCGGUAAAAGCUCAAAUUUGAAAUCUGGUACUUUCAGUGCCCGAGUUGUAAUUUGUAGAAUUUGUCUUUGAUUAGGUCCUUGUCUAUGUUCCUUGGAACAGGACGUCAUAGAGGGUGAGAAUCCCGUUUGGCGAGGAUACCUUUUCUUUGUAAGACUUUUUCGAAGAGUCGAGUUGUUUGGGAAUGCAGCUCAAAGUGGGUGGUAAAUUCCAUCUAAAGCUAAAUAUUGGCGAGAGACCGAUAGCGAACAAGUACAGUGAUGGAAAGAUGAAAAGAACUUUGAAAAGAGAGUGAAAAAGUACGUGAAAUUGUUGAAAGGGAAGGGCAUUUGAUCAGACAUGGUGUUUUUUGCAUGCACUUGCCUCUCGUGGGCUUGGGCCUCUCAAAAAUUUCACUGGGCCAACAUCAAUUCUGGCAGUAGGAUAAAUCAUUAAGAAUGUAGCUACCUCGGUAGUGUUAUAGCUUAUUGGAAUACUGCUAGCUGGGAUUGAGGACUGCGCUUCGGCAAGGAUGUUGGCAUAAU
rnacentral:rRNA from 1 species